rnacentral:rRNA from 1 species
CAAUAGCGUAUAUUAAAGUUGUUGCAGUUAAAAAGCUCGUAGUUGAAUUUCGGGUCCCCGCGCUCGGCGCUUCAUUGUGCCGUCGUGGUGUCCCUCCUCGCCGUAAGGCGUCCUUUACUGUGAAAAAAUUAGAGUGUUCAAAGCAGGCAAUCGCUUGAAUACAUUAGCAUGGAAUAAUAAGAUAGGAUCUUGUCUAUUUUGUUGGUUGCGGACAACGAUAAUGAUUAAUAGGGAUAGUUGGGGGUGUCCGUAUUGAGCUGUCAGAGGUGAAAUUCUUGGAUUUGCUCAAGACGAACUACUGCGAAAGCAUUCACCAAGGGUGUUUUCAUUAA